GACGGGGGGGGCAAGUGUUCUUCGGAGUGACUGGGCGUAAAGGGCACGUAGGCGGUGAAUCGGGUUGAAAGUGAAAGUCGCCAAAAAGUGGCGGAAUGCUCUCGAAACCAAUUCACUUGAGUGAGACAGAGGAGAGUGGAAUUUCGUGUGUAGGGGUGAAAUCCGUAAAUAUACGAAGGAACGCCAAAAGCGAAGGCAGCUCUCUGGGUCCCUACCGACGCUGGGGUGCGAAAGCGUGGGGAGCAAACAGG
rnacentral:rRNA from 1 species